rnacentral:rRNA from 1 species
GACGAACGCUGGCGGCGUGCUUAACACAUGCAAGUCGAACGGAAAGGCCCUGCUUUUGUGGGGUGCUCGAGUGGCGAACGGGUGAGUAACACGUGAGUAACCUGCCCUUGACUUUGGGAUAACUUCAGGAAACUGGGGCUAAUACCGGAUAGGAGCUCCUGCUGCAUGGUGGGGGUUGGAAAGUUUCGGCGGUUGGGGAUGGACUCGCGGCUUAUCAGCUUGUUGGUGGGGUAGUGGCUUACCAAGGCUUUGACGGGUAGCCGGCCUGAGAGGGUGACCGGCCACAUUGGGACUGAGAUACGGCCCAGACUCCUACGGGAGGCAGCAGUGGGGAAUAUUGCACAAUGGGCGGAAGCCUGAUGCAGCAACGCCGCGUGCUGGAUGACUGCCUUCGGGUUGUAAACCGCUUUCGCCUGUGACGAAGCGUGAGUGACGGUAAUGGGUAAAGAAGCACCGGCUAACUACGUG